rnacentral:rRNA from 1 species
GACGAACCGUGCGAACGUUGUUCGGAAUCACUGGGCUUAAAGGGCGCGUAGGCGGCUUGCCAAGUCAGUGGUGAAAUCCUGCAGCUUAACUGCAGAAGUGCCUUUGAUACUGGCGAGCUCGAGGGAGGUAGGGGUAUGUGGAACUUCUGGUGAAGCGGUGAAAUGCGUUGAUAUCAGAAGGAACGCCGGUGGCGAAAGCGACGUACUGGACCUCUUCUGACGCUGAGGCGCGAAAGCUAGGGGAGCAAACGGG